rnacentral:rRNA from 1 species
AAUCAACGCUGGCGGCGUGCCUAACACAUGCAAGUCGAACGCGAAAGGGGCUUCGGUCCUGAGUAGAGUGGCGAACGGGUGAGUAACACGUGGGUGAUCUACCUUCGAGUGGGGGAUAACGUCCCGAAAGGGACGCUAAUACCGCAUGACGUUCUGGGUUUAAAGACCUGGAAACCAAAGCCGGGGACCGCAAGGCCUGGCGCUUGAAGAGGAGCCCGCGUCCGAUUAGCUAGUUGGCGGGGUAACGGCCCACCAAGGCGACGAUCGGUAGCCGGCCUGAGAGGGCGGACGGACACACUGGAGCUGAGACACGGUCCAGACUCCUACGGGAGGCAGCAGUGGGGAAUUGUUCACAAUGGGCGCAAGCCUGAUGACGCAACGCCGCGUGGGGGAAGAAGGCCUGAGGGUUGUAAAGCACUUUCAGUGGGGAGGAGGAUUGCCAGGUUAAGAGCUAGGUAAUUGGACGUUACCCACAGAAGAAGCACCGGCUAACUCCGUGCCAGCCGCCGCAGUAA